UGAAAAAUUAUAAAUUUCAACUACAUGUUUUUAUACAAUUUAUUUGAAUUUUUGGGUGUGGGGAGAAAAAAGAGAAGAAAACUCACAUUCACAUUGGGUGAAAAAAUGGACAAAAUCAUGAGAGAUAUGAUGAGGCCACGAGUAGAAGUAGACAUAUCUUGAUUCUUGAGUUGGAAUCUGAAAAGGACAGAAGAGGAAGCAUAAGGACAAUGGUUUCCUUUGAAAUCAGUGACCAUGGAGAGUGACCCCUCUUGUCUCCAUUCUUUCUUCCCUUAUUGUUGGCAUAAAAAUUAUAAUGCAUUUUGUUAAAAAAAUAAGAGAUAACUAUCUCAUUGACUUACAGGUUGACCUAGUAGUAGUGUAAGCUUGAGACACACGAGUGUACUUCUUUUUAGAUCUUAAGUUUGAAUUCUUUUUGUGCUAACAAUUCAUUUGUUAGAUCAAUUGAUGUAAAAUUUUAACCUGACUUCAA